AUUGAACGCUGGCGGCAGGCCUAACACAUGCAAGUCGAACGAGUGGCGGACGGGUGAGUAAUGUCUGGGAAACUGCCUGAUGGAGGGGGAUAACUACUGGAAACGGUAGCUAAUACCGCAUACCAUCGGAUGUGCCCAGAUGGGAUUAGCUAGUGGGUGGGGUAAAGGCUCACCUAGGCGACGAUCCCUAGCUGGUCUGAGAAGAUGACCGGCCACCCUGGAACUGAGAAAGUGUCCAGCACCGUGCGGGAGGGCGGUGUGGGGGAUAUUGGAGAAUGGGCGCAAGCCUGAUGCAGGCAUGCCGCGUGUGGGAAGAAGGCUUUCGGGUUGUAAAGUACUUUCCGCGGGGAGGCGUUACCCACAGAAGAAGCACGGGCUAGCUCCGGGCCAGCCGCCGCGGUAAUAC
rnacentral:rRNA from 1 species